rnacentral:rRNA from 1 species
GUAGGUGGCAAGCGUUACUCGGAAUCACUAGGCGUAAAGCGCAGGUAGGCGGUUUGAUAAGUCUGUUGUGAAAGCUCCCGGCUUAACUGGGAGAGGUCAACGGAAACUAUCAGGCUAGAGUGUGGUAGAGGUAGCUGGAAUUCCCGGUGUAGCGGUGAAAUGCGUAGAUAUCGGGAGGAAUACCUAUGGCGAAAGCAGGCUACUGGACCAUCACUGACGCUGAUCUGCGGAAGCUAGGGGAGCAAACAGGAUUAGAUACCCUGGUAGUCCUAGCCCUAAACGAUGCUCAUUAGGUGUGGGAGGUAUCGACCCCUUCCGCGCCGUAGCUAACGCAUUAAAUGAGCCGCCUGGGGAGUACGGCCGCAAGGUUG